rnacentral:ribozyme from 1 species
UUUUUUUUUUUUUUUUUUUUUUUUUUCUCUU